rnacentral:rRNA from 1 species
AGAUUAAGUUAUUAAGGGCGCACGGUGGAUGCCUUGGCACUAGAAGCCGAUGAAGGACGUUACUAACGACGAUAUGCUUUGGGGAGCUGUAAGUAAGCUUUGAUCCAGAGAUUUCCGAAUGGGAAACCCAGCAUGAGUUAUGUCAUGUUAUCGAUA